UCAGAUAUGAAUCAGUGGUAGAGCAUUUGCCUAGCAUGUGAAGAUCUUGGGUUCAAUCCCCAGUAUCUGAA
rnacentral:tRNA from 1 species